GAUGAACGCUGGCGGCGUGCCUAACACAUGCAAGUCGAGCGGCAGCGAGGGGUGCUUGCACCCUGUCGGCGAGCGGCGGACGGCUGAGUAACGCGUGGGAACGUCCCUCAAAGUGAGGAAUAACUGACCGAAAGGGUAGCUAAUACCGCAUAUUAUCUUUGGAUCAAAGGAUUUAUCCGCGUUGGGAGCGGCUCGCGUCGGAUUAGGUAGUUGGUGAGGUAAUGGCUCACCAAGCCGCCGACCCGUAGCUGGUCUGAGAGGAUGACCAGCCAGACUGGAACUGAGACACAGUCCAGACUCCUACGCGAGGCAGGAGUGAGGAAUCUACCACAAUGAGCGAAAGCCUGAUGGAGCAACGCCGCGUGCAGGACGAAUGCCUUCGGGUUGUAAACUGCUUUUAUAAGUGAGGAAUAUGACGGUAACUUAUGAAGAAGGAUCGGCUAACUACGUG
rnacentral:rRNA from 1 species